UACGUAGGGGGCAAGCGUUGUCCGGAUUUAUUGGGCGUAAAGCGCUCGCAGGUGGUUCGUCGCGUCGUGCGUGAAAGACCCCGGCUCAACUGGGGAGGGUCGUGCGAUACGGUCGGGCUGGAGGCCAGUAGGGGGAUGCGGAAUUCCGGGUGUAGUGGUGGAAUGCGUAGAGAUCCGGAGGAACACCAGCGGCGAAGGCGGCAUCCUGGACUGGUCCUGACACUCAGGAGCGAAAGCGUGGGGAGCGAUCCGG
rnacentral:rRNA from 1 species